rnacentral:misc_RNA from 1 species
GGUAUCAUUAUGUGCAUAAUUGUAAGUAUGCCUGUUAAAUUCUGUAAAUUCCUGUGUGUAAUUGGUAACCUUUUUUUAUUCAAGCCAUAAUAAGUAUUUUGCGGCCUUGUGUUAAGAUCCCACAUUGGUUUGGGAUAGGGAUAGGGAUAAUGUGCUCCUUAUAUGGCCUUAGGCACUCCUCCUCCCUUGAGCUAGCUUUGGAGAGUGAGUUAAGCCCGGUCCAUUUUCUUAAGACUCUAAAUGUAUCUGAACUAAUCAAAGUUUUUUAAAAUCCUGAAUAUAUGAAUGGAAGUGAUAGCAUGGAAAUAUUAGUGAUGGACGGAUUUGUAAAUUUUCCUUGAAUAUCUUACUUGCACACUGAUCCAAUAUAAUUCAUGAAAUGCUAAAGCAAGCUUUUGGCACUUGUUGGAAUUGAUGAGAUUCCUUAUUCCAACUUGAGGGAAAGUGUAUAGAAUGGGAAGUAAUAAAUAUGUGUAUAUUCUUAUAUUGAUUAACAUAAUUUUAGGGAUUUAAUUAUUUUUCUUUUUAGGGAUUUGAGUUGUAUAUAUGUGUGUUAUAAAUGAAUAAAAUUAAGGAUUUCUAGCACAAAAUUAACAUGGUAUCAGGGCUCUCAAUUAAUUAGGGCUUUGGUACUAUUCACAAGUACUGUUCAGCGAGUACUAUUCAUGGGGUAUUGUUCACUGGUUGCACAGUUCUUUGUUUUUAGCCACUCCAGGUGCUUCACUUUUGGUUGGCAUUAGGUGUUACAGCUUCUAUAUUUUAGUGAUAUAUUUGCCACUGUUCUUGAAAUCACUCUCUUGCCAAUUGUGAGCUAUUUUUGGGUUUUGGGUAUUUAUUUUAAGAAACUUUUGGUGGGACUUUGAGAAUUGGUACACUGUUCAGCUUGGGAUUCAAUUUUUGCUGUCGUACUUGCUUCGGUUGCUGUUUUAUUUUGGUACUUCAGUGCUGGUGUGUUACUGUAAAUUGUUGGCCUAUUUGAUACUCCCAUGAAGUUGAUUAUGUUUGAACAGCCAUCAUGUCACAGCCCUGUGAGCUGUUGGAUAAAGUUUCACCUACUAUUUUGUCUUUUUCCUCGCCGGCAUUGCCUUUGGGGAGGGAAAUGCAACCCAGUGAGUUGCUUUGUGUUGAUGUUUCCUCACCGG